CAUUCCACAGAUUACCAAGCUCCCAGCUUCCCUUGCUUUCUGACUCAGUGGCCAAUUCCUCAGGAGUUGCCUCUUCUUUACAGGUUAUUGUGAAGAUCAAAUGACACAUUCCCUUUGGAAACUCUUAAAGGCUUUACAAAGGCCAGCCAGGGGGUGUUCAUGGAGACGGCAGAAGCACCCCAGCGACAGUCCCAAUGUGCACGCCUAUUUUCAACCUCUGCUCACAUCACAUCUGCUAAAAUACUGCUGGAGAUGGCAAGUCACGUGGCUGAGCCGAAGCAAGGUAUGGAGAAAUCCACCCUG